rnacentral:rRNA from 1 species
UUAAAAAGCUCGUAGUCGGAUUUUGGCUGAGAACGGUCGGUCCGCCGUUAGGUGUGCACUGACUGGUCUCAGCUUCCUGGUGAGGAGGUGUGCUUCAUCGCCACUUAGUCACCGUGGUUACUUUGAAAAAAUUAGAGUGUUCAAAGCGGGCUUACGCUUGAAUAUAUUAGCAUGGAAUAACACCAUAGGACUCCUGUCCUAUUUCGUUGGUCUCGGGACGGGAGUAAUGAUUAAGAGGAACAGUUGGGGGCAUUCGUAUCUCAUUGUCAGAGGUGAAUUUCUUGGAUUUAUGAAAGACGAACUUCUGCGAAAGCAUUUGCCAAGGAUGUUUUCAUUGAUCAAGAACGAAAGUUGGGGGCUCGGAGAUGAUUAGAUACCAUCCUAGUCUCAACCAUAAACGAUGCCGACUAGGGAUUGGCGGAUGUUAAUUGAUGACUUCGCCAGCACCUUAUGAGAAAUCAAAGUUUUUGGGUUCCGGGGGGAGUAUGGUCGCAAGGCUGAAACUUAAAGGAAUUGACGGAAGGGCACCACCAGGCGUGGAGCCUGCGGCUUAAUUUGACUCAACACGGGGAAACUUACCAGGGUCCAGACAUAGUAAGGAUUGACAGAUUGAGAGCUCUUUCU